AGUACAUAAUUUUUUACAUUCGGUAACGAUUUAAAAACCGGCGUAUUUUCGAGUGCCAUUUUUUUUUCAUACCGGCAUUUGAUUUUUAGUAAAAAACAUUGAUGUCGGUAAAUACUUAUACUUCUGACAUAAUUACCCAUAGAAAAAGUUUUGUCUGGCCUAACAAACAAAUACACCAAUGUUUCAAUCGCCAAACCGUGAACGGGUAUGAAUAACUUACACAAUACGUGACAAACACCGCAUUGUGUUAUCAAUUUAACAGUUUUAUAGGCUUUCUAAUAUAGCGGUAUAAUUACAUGUACAAUGAUGUUUUACAAGUUGUAAAAAAUGGAAACGCCAAAACAGAAUCGUAGGAGGUAUAUGAGGGAAUUUAAACUGAAAGUUGUGUCUCAUUACAAAACGUUGUCAGUUGGAAAUGUUAAAAAUAAAGUACAUGUAAUAGACACAGCCCGACAUUUUAACAUAGAAGAAACUAAUGUUAGACGUUGGCUGAAAGCUCAGGCGGACAUUAAAAACUCCCUAAAGGGUUCUAAAAGUACCGGUUCGGAGAGCUUUAUUUCCAGACAUGGAAUCUCAGUUACAUCAAGAAUUUCUUGAAAUUAUACAAGAAGGACUGAAAACAAAAGCUUGGUGGUUCAAAUCCCGGGGAAAGGAACUUUGAUACAAAAAGGUGAACGGCUUAUUUUUGAGUACGGCUUAUUUAUGAGCCCUUUUUAGCCUGUAGUGAAAUGGUGGCUUAUUUUCGAGACCGGCUUAUUAUCGAAACCGGCUUAUUUUCGGGAUUUCAGGGUAGUUAAAAUAGGAAUUUUUCAAUUUAUGAAUAUUUGGAAAUAUGCGAGAUUAAACUCAUUCUCGCAUACGGGACUUAGUCUAACCUCUGUUAGACGAGAGAGGAUUAAACCAUGAUACGGAUGCCAUCGCUAUAUGAAAACCGCACAAUGACAAGAGAAAUAUUUUUUUCUGGAAUCUAAAUGAGACACACUGAAGUAGUAUAGAAACUACCGAUUCUAGGCCAAUUUGACCUCACUUGACCCCUCACCCUCUUCUAAAAAAACCCAAUGCCGACCAAUUCAAAUUUAAAAAAUCCAAAACCAACCAGUCUUAAAAUACUAACUCAGUGCAUUUGUACCCUGAAAAUCUUUGAUGAACGUAAGGUUGAAGGGUCAAUCUGACCUCCACCGACCCUCACCCUCUUCUAAAAACCCAAUACCAGACAAUUAAAAAACAUCUGGUUUAUGAACGUAAGUGGGUUGAAACACCGUCUACCCACACAAUUAAAACCCCCCGCAAGUUUAAAUCCAUUGAAAAAACAUAUAUUUUAUAUAAAAUAUAUUUCAUUUAAAACACUAAGAAACGAUUUUCAAUAGUAGUGCCCUUAUUGAUAAAACACAACGCAGUAAAUAUCGGUCAGGUUGCCAUGGCGCUGAACAAAUUCAUCCGAUCGAGAGAGUUUACCGCACGAAGUGACAAUCGAUAUGCUAGAUUAUUCUUUACAAAUGUCUGGACGUAAAUAAACAAAUAAGUUUGUAUUGUUGGAUAUACAACAGAAAUAAGCGGAAUUAAACAUCUAAAAUGAUAAUACCACUACAACCGAACUUUUGGGAGAUUUAAUAAAUUUGUCUGCCCAUCUUGGGGAGAACUACAAACAAGACGAAGCGUGUACAAAAUGGAUUGAACUAUUUCAUACAAAAUAUUAUCCCAAACUAACAGACGCAAUUAAACCCAAACCAAAGCGACAUACAAGAAGCGAUUUGGCGAAAACAAUAAAAGAAGAAAUUACAAAAUCCUUUGGACAAGAAGAAAUUCCAGAAAAUUUAAUGUGGAUACUUCAAAUAUUGAUAAAUGUGUCGAAACUAUUCAAAAUUUACAACAACAAAUAUACAGAAACAAAAGGAAUAUUGUUUAUUGUACGCAUCAGAUUGGAUUUAUUAUUAAAAAUUUAAAAUCAAGUUGGCCAAAGGAUUGUGCCAUAGGACUUUAUCUUCAUAGCAAAGGCGUACCUUACACAGAUUCCUACUGUCGAAACCUAGUUUUAGUUUAUGAAUUAAUUGAGAAACAUAAGAAUUUAUUGAAGUGUGCUUUAAACAUUGGAACUUUAAUCAAAAACAGGAAACUAAUCGAAGAAAUAUGUACAGAGUUGGAUUGGUAACAAAAUCAACUUUUAACAGCAGGAAUCUAUGUUAGGAUUUCAUAUACAAUGUUCACAUUUAUUUAUAGUAACGUUUACAAUGUAAACGCGCGUCACUUCUGUAUACCAUGUUCAAUUUUAUUUUUAUAUAUCUAUACUUCUAUUUAUAGUAACGUUUACAAUGUAAACGCACGUCACUUCCGUUCAAGUUUAUUUUUAACAUUAGUGGAAUUUCUUUAUGUCUAUACUUCUAUUUAUAGUAACGUUUACAAUGUAAACGCACGUCACUUCCGUUCAAGUUUGUUUUUAACAUCAGUGGAAUUUCUUUAUGUCUAUACUUCUAUUUAUAGUAACAUUUACAAUGUAAACGCACGUCACUUCCAUAUAUGAGAAUAUAGUGUUUUAAUACAUUUUAACUCAUCUUAUUAAAAUAAUUUAUAAUUGUUUGUUCAUUUACUCUUUGAUUGUUAACUUUUAGUAUUCUAUACAAUAAAUCAUAAAUGUUUAUACCAUCUUGUAACAUUUUAAUGAAAAAUAAACAAUAAUAACCACAAAG